CCUACGGGAGGCAGCAGUGGGGAAUAUUGGACAAUGGGGGGAACCCUGAUCCAGCGACGCCGCGUGAGUGAAGAAGUAUUUCGGUAUGUAAAGCCCUAUCAGCAGGGAAGAAAGAAAUGACGGUACCUGAAUAAGAAGCCCCGGCUAACUACGUGCCAGCAGCCGCGGUAAUACGUAGGGGGCAAGCGUUAUCCGGAUUUACUGGGUGUAAAGGGAGCGUAGACGGCGAUGCAAGUCUGAAGUGAAAGGCGGUGGCCCAACCCCCGGACUGCUUUGGAAACUGUAUGGCUGGAGUGCAGGAGAGGUAAGUGGAAUUCCUAGUGUAGCGGUGAAAUGCGUAGAUAUUAGGAGGAACACCAGUGGCGAAGGCGGCUUACUGGACUGUAACUGACGUUGAGGCUCGAAAGCGUGGGGAGCAAACAGGAUUAGAUACCCCUGUAGUC
rnacentral:rRNA from 1 species